UACGAAGGGGGCUAGCGUUGCUCGGAAUCACUGGGCGUAAAGGGCGCGUAGGCGGCCAUUCAAGUCGGGGGUGAAAGCCUGUGGCUCAACCACAGAAUGGCCUCGAUACUGGGACGCUUGAGUAUGGUAGAGGUUGGUGGAACUGCGAGUGUAGAGGUGAAAUUCGUAGAUAUUCGCAAGAACACCGGUGGCGAAGGCGGCCAACUGGACCAUUACUGACGCUGAGGCGCGAAAGCGUGGGGAGCAAACAGG
rnacentral:rRNA from 1 species